GAUGAAGAACGCAGUGAAAUGCGGUACUUGGUGUGAAUUGCAGAAUCCCGUGAACCAUCGAGUCUUUGAACGCAAGUUGCGCCCGAAGCCAUCAGGUUGAGGGCACGUCUGCCUGGGCGUCACAUAUCGUUGCCCAAUGCCUAUUGCAGUGCAAUAGGAAUUUCUAGGGCGAAUGAUGGCUUCCCGUGAGCGUUGUUGCCUCGCGGUUGGUUGAAAAUCGAGUCCUUGGUAGGGUGUGCCAUGGUAGAUGGUGGUCGAGUUAGAACGAUACCGAUCAUGUGCAUGCUCCCCAAAAUAUGGCCUCUAUGACCCACACGCGUCUUUUGACGCUCAUGACGAGACCUCAGGUCAGGCGGGGCUACCCGCUGAAUUUAAGCAUAUCAAUAAGCGGAGGA
rnacentral:misc_RNA from 1 species